rnacentral:rRNA from 1 species
GAUGAACGCUGGCGGCGUGCCUAAUACAUGCAAGUCGAGCGAACGGACGAGAAGCUUGCUUCUCUGAUGUUAGCGGCGGACGGGUGAGUAACACGUGGAUAACCUACCUAUAAGACUGGGAUAACUUCGGGAUACCGGAGCUAAUACCGGAUAAUAUUUUGAACCGCAUGGUUCAAAAGCGAAAGACGGUCUUGCUGUCACUUAUAGAUGGAUCCGGGCUGCAUUAGCUAGUUGGUAAGGUAACGGCUUACCAAGGCAACGAUGCAUAGCCGACCUGAGAGAGGGAUCGCCCACCCUGGAACUGAGACACGGUCCAGACUCCUACGGGAGGCAGCAGUAGCGAAUCUUCCGCAAUGGGCGAAAGCCUGACGGAGCAACGCCACGUGAGUGAUGAAGGUCUUCGGAUCGUAAAACUCUGUUAUUAGGGAAGAACAUAUGUGUAAGUAACUGUACACAUCGUGACGGUACCUAAUAAGAAAGCCACGGCUAACUACGUG